GGUCGUCCCACCCUAAUCUUAUUAUACAAAUGGGCUUUCUACUUGGCCAGUACCAUCUUGUCUGCUCCUUACUAUACACGCGGGUGGCAAACAGAGGAGAAGAUGGAGCCACCAUUUUGAGCGUGCCUAUUCCCAGCUUGGAAGGCACAAUCCACAUCGGUCUGCAUGGUCCACCGAGCUGCAUACCCACGGGGCCAGCGGGAGGUGGGCAGCUGCUGGGCUUUCUUCUGAAGCAGACAGGAUCUCAGUCUGUUGCCGAGGCUGGAUCACAGCUCCCUGCAACCUUGAAUUCUCCCUCAAGCAAUCCUCCCCACUCUGCCUUCCAAAGCACUGGCAUUACAGGCCUAAGCCACCACUCCCAUCCACUGUAGUGUAAACUAUCUCCUUCAGUGUUUCCAGUAGUUGCAGAGCAGAUCAGAUAAGGGUUCUUCCUGUCUAUUGCUUCAAGUUUCAUUCUCUCUUUAAACGAUAUAAGGUUGGCUUCCAUGGUUCCUUCUUAAAGAAUGUUGAAGGUGUGUCUUCAGAUCCAUUUAGCGUUCAUGGAACCCCAGGGAAAGCUGAUGUAAAACCCUCUUUUUUCUCCCAAAUGUCUCAAAAAGUUGUAUUUUCUGGGUCCAAGGGAUCUGCAAGCCUCCUAAAGGCAUUUCCAUUGUCACCACCAUCAAGUGUCAACAGUAAUCUGGCACCUAUAGUUCCAAGAACUGUCAUAAUAGAUGCUGAAGAAACAUUGUGAAGGUAACUUGCUGUUACCAACUGUGAAGUCAUUAGCUAGAGGAAUCUUGGGCGGUCUGAAAUCUGAAAUACUGUGGAAAGAACAGAAAGAUCCUGUAUCUUUCCUAUAAUUGUUCUACUGAAAGUUGUCAUUUUACACAGGAGACAUUCUGUUUUAUUUAUUUGGUUUUGAGACAGGGUCUCACUCUGUCGCCCAGGCUGGAGGGCAGUGUUGUUACCACAGGUCACUGGUGCCUCCACUGCCUGAGGACUGCUCAAGCAAUCCUCCUACUCAGUGCCCUGAGGAGCUGGGGCCACAGGCCUGCACCACCACGCCUGGCUAAUUAUUUUUAUUUGUAGAGAUAAGGUCUAUCUUGCCUAGGCUGAUCUCGAACUCCUGGGCUCAAGUAAUCCUCCCGCCACGGCUUCUCAAAGUGCUUGGGAUUACAGAUGUAAGCUACCAUGCCCGGCCUCACAGGAGGCAUUUUUGAUGUCCCUCUUGACAGUCUACAAAAGUCUACAGAUUUUUUUUUUUUUUUUUUUUUUUUUUUUUUGAGACAGGGUCUUGCUCUGUCACCCAGUCUGGAGUGCAGUGGUGCCAUCAUAGCUCACUACAGCCUGAGCUGUACUGAGCUCAAGGGAUCUUCCCAUUUCAGCCUCCUAAGUAGCUGGGACUACAGGCACUUGCCACCAGGUCCAGAUAAUUUAUUAAUUUUUUUUUUUUUUUUUUUGUAAAGACAGGGUCUCACUAUGUUGCCCAGGCUGGUCUCAAACUCCUGGCCUCAAACAGUCCUCUACCUCAACCUCCCUAAGUGCUGGCAUUACAGGCAUCAGCUGCCAUGCGUGACUGCAAAUCUUAAUGUUUUCCCCAUGGCUUCUUUUUCUGGUGUUCUUUUCUCAGGUAAUGGAAGUGGGCAGAGAAUGAUCCUUUCCCUAGGCUCCAGUGUGUAAGAAUUAAAGAAAGAGGAAAGAAACACGAUGGCUUGAUGGUCAAGGACAGGUUUAUUUUAAAGGAAACAAACCCAAGAGUGGCUUCUGGCUGAGUUAGAUCAGAGACAUGCUCUCUUACAGACUAAGAGUUUUUAAGGAUUCAGGGUGGGAGAGUUUAUCAGAGGCUUGGACUGCUUCUGUGUCUCUUUAGGUGUGCUUAUCUGGGAGGGAAAGUUGUGUGUCUGUUUCCAUACAUCUUCCUGCAGCUGCAGGCGUACCCCCAAGUCUGCUUUUAGCUUCCCUAUCUUAGUGCACCUGAAGGGAAAGGAAUGUGCUUAUUAAGGCUCACUGUUAUACUGGGGCCCAAUGUAUGAGGGUGAAGUUUGGCAAUUACCCAAGAGACUUUCCCCCCACCUCCCUCUGUGCCCGACUGUCUUAUCUCUGUUUUACUGUCUGCUCUUUCUGUCUGCUUGUUGUUAGAAGUGAUUUUCUUGAAAUGCAUGAGGCUGGAAAGGGAGCGGGAACUUAAAGUAGUGGUGUUUGUCCGAGAGGAUGGUGCUCCUGCUCUGUCACAGUGGGCAUGGGGAUUCAGGCCACUGCCACCAAAUUUCAGAGCCCAAGCACACAGCCCAGAACUAAAUUGUGAGGGUUUAAAAAAAACCAGCUUUAUUGAAGUAUAAUUGACAUACAAUAAACUUGAAUAUUUAAAGUGU
rnacentral:lncRNA from 1 species